CAUAUCAAUAAGCGGAGGAAAAGAAACCAACAGGGAUUGCCUCAGUAACGGCGAGUGAAGCGGCAAAAGCUCAAAUUUGAAAUCUAGCACCUUCGGUGUUCGAGUUGUAAUUUGAAGAUGGUAACCUUGGGUUUGGCUCUUGUCUAUGUUCCUUGGAACAGGACGUCAUAGAGGGUGAGAAUCCCGUCUGAUGAGAUGCCCAUUCCUAUGUAAGGUGCUAUCGAAGAGUCGAGUUGUUUGGGAAUGCAGCUCUAAGUGGGUGGUAAAUUCCAUCUAAAGCUAAAUAUUGGCGAGAGACCGAUAGCGAACAAGUACAGUGAUGGAAAGAUGAAAAGAACUUUGAAAAGAGAGUGAAAAAGUACGUGAAAUUGUUGAAAGGGAAGGGCAUUAGAUCAGACUUGGUGUUUUACGAUUAUCUUCUCUUCUUGAGUUGUGCACUCGUAUUUCACUGGGCCAGCAUCGAUUCGGAUGGCAAGAUAAUGGCAGUUGAAUGUGGCUUCACUUCGGUGGAGUGUUAUAGCUUCUGCUGAUAUUGCCUGUCUGGAUCGAGGGCUGCGUCUUU
rnacentral:rRNA from 1 species